rnacentral:rRNA from 1 species
GACGAACGCUGGCGGCGUGCCUAAUACAUGCAAGUAGAACGCACAGUUUAUACUUUCGCUUGCUACACCAUAGACUGUGAGUUGCGAACGGGUGAGUAACGCGUAGGUAACCUGCCUGGUAGCGGGGGAUAACUAUUGAAAACGAUAGCUAAUACCGCAUAAUAUUGAUUAUUGCAUGAUAAUUGAUUGAAAGCUGCUAUUGCAUCACUACCAGAUGGACCUGCGUUGUAUUAGCUAGUAGGUGAGGUAACGGCUCACCUAGGCGACGAUACAUAGCCGACCUUGGAGGGUGAUCGGCCACCCUGGGAAUGGGACACGGCCCAGACUCCUACGGGAGGGAGCAGUAGGGGAUCUUUGGCAAUGGACGGAAGUCUGACCGCACAACGCCGCGUGAGUGAAGGAGGUCUUCGGGUCGUAAAGCUCUGUUGUGUGGGGAGAAAGGGUGUGAGGGUAGAAAGUGCACACUGUGACGGUAUCUUACCAGAAAGGGACGGCUAACUACGUG